AUCUGCCAGAUUCCUUAGCCCUCGGAUCUAAAUAUUGGUCUGGGUGGCUAGCUAACAAAGGAGGAAAAGUAAAACUGAAGUGGACUUGGAGUCUUUAGUGACAUACAAAUUCAUCUCAAAUAUAU
rnacentral:snoRNA from 1 species